AUUGAACGCUGGCGGCAGGCCUAACACAUGCAAGUCGAGCGGAUGAGAGGAGCUUGCUCCUUGAUUUAGCGGCGGACGGGUGAGUAAUGCCUAGGAAUCUGCCUGGUAGUGGGGGAUAACGUUCCGAAAGGAACGCUAAUACCGCAUACGUCCUACGGGAGAAAGCAGGGGACCUUCGGGCCUUGCGCUAUCAGAUGAGCCUAGGUCGGAUUAGCUAGUUGGUGAGGUAAUGGCUCACCAAGGCGACGAUCCGUAACUGGUCUGAGAGGAUGAUGAGUCACACUGGAACUGAGACACGGACCAGACUACUACGGGAGGCAGCAGUGGGGAAUAUUGGACAAUGGGCGAAAGCCUGACACAGCCAUGCCGCGUGUGUGAAGAAGGUCUUCGGAUUGUAAAGCACUUUAGGUUGGGAGGAAAGGCAGUAAGCUAAUACCUUGCUGUUUUGACGUUACCGAAAGAAUAAGCACCGGCUAACUUCGUG
rnacentral:rRNA from 1 species